rnacentral:rRNA from 1 species
UACGUAGGGUGCAAGCGUUGUCCGGAAUUAUUGGGCGUAAAGAGCUCGUAGGCGGUCCGUCACGUCGGCUGUGAAAACCCGGGGCUCAACCCCGGGCCUGCAGUCGAUACGGGCGGACUAGAGUUCGGCAGGGGAGACUGGAAUUCCUGGUGUAGCGGUGAAAUGCGCAGAUAUCAGGAGGAACACCGAUGGCGAAGGCAGGUCUCUGGGCCGAUACUGACGCUGAGGAGCGAAAGCGUGGGGAGCGAACAGG